rnacentral:lncRNA from 10 species
AUCUCAGUUUGAAGUUAGAAUUGAAUCCAAGAGGAAGAGAAGCAUCCUUCCUUCAGUGCCUUUGUGGUGGUGCUUGGUGAGAGAUAGUGGUGAAGGCAUUGCCUAAAGAGAGAGGCACUAACAGGCAGAGGAGUGGUUGAGACCAGUAAGAACUGCCCUGCCUGGUGGAGCAGAGGCAGAAGCUGAUGCCCAGGCUCUGCAGCAUCUAUAGGGAACUUGGUGCCUGCAGUGCUCAUCAAAUGAUCCAGAGGCCUCCUUGAACACUGCAAAACCCAGAAGAAAUUACCAUGCCAACGGAGCAGAACCAGAUCCUUUGGGGAAACACAGCGCUGGUGGAAGAACUAUAGCUCCAGUAAGCAAAUGUGGUGCCUGGUGGGUGGUUGCUGAAUCAGUGUGUGUUUGUGAGCAUAUGUGAGACACCCACUGAAGAUGCCUAAAAACACCUCUAGAAACUGACAUUUUAAAA